GAUGAACGCUGGCGGCGUGCCUAAUACAUGCAAGUCGAGCGAGAAGAUGAGGAGCUUGCUCCCCUGACGUUAGCGGGGGACGGGAGAGUAACACGGGGAUGAACUAACUAUACGAAUGGGGUAAUAACGGGAAACCGUAUCUAAUACCGGAUAAUUUAUUGAACCUCAUUGUUCAAUAGUUGAAGAAGGUUUUUCUGUCGGUAAUAGAUGGCUCAGCGGUGGAUUAGUUAGUUGGUAAGGUAACUGCUUACCAAGGCAACGAGGCUUAACCGCCCUGAGAGCGUCAUCGCCCACACUGUAUGAGAGACACGUCCCACACUCCGACGGUGGGCAGCAGUAGGGAAUCCUACGCAAUGGGGGAAAGCCUGAUAGAGCAACGCCGCGUAAGGGAUGAACGUCUUCGGACCGUAAAACUCUGUAAUUAGGGAAGAACAAAUGUUUAAGUAACUAUGAUCGUCUUGACAGUACCUAAACAAAAAGCUACGGCUAACUACGUG
rnacentral:rRNA from 1 species